UGGACAACAGAGCGAGACUCAGUCUCAAAAAAACAAAACAAAAACAAAAACAAAAAAACCGAAGAAAGAAAUAUGAUUGGACCAGAAGGCCAAUAACCUGAGUGGGGAAACCCAGCAAGGCCUGUCCAUGUAGAUUCUUCUUGGCCUCUCUCUGCAGCAGUCCUUCCUUCUGAGGAUGGGGCAGGACUCUCUCUGGGAUGGAGGGGUCUUAGGACCUGCAAGCAAACAAGGGACGCACGUGACAUUUGGAUUGUGACUCGGAUUGGGGGACUUCCUUUGGGAGAUCAAUCCUCUGUCCUCCUGCUCUUUGCUCCGUGAGAGAGAUCCACCUAUGACCUUGGGUCCUCAGACCAACCAGCCCAAGGAACAUCUCACCAAUUUUAAAUCGGAUCUUGGCUUAGCGGCUGAAGACUGAUGCUGCUCAAUUGCCUCGGAAGCCUCCUGGAUCAUCACAGAUUCUUUGGGUAACUCUUACAGUGGAGGGUAAGUCCAUCCCCUUCUUAAUCAAUACGGAGGCUACCCACCCCACAUUGCCUUCUUUUCAAGGACCUGUUUCCCCUGCCUCCAUAACUGUUGUGGGUACUGACGGCCAGGCUUCAAAACCCCUUAAAACUCCCCCACUCUGAUGUCAACUUGGACAACAUUCUUUUAUGCACUCCUUUUUAGUUAUCCUCACCUGCCCAGCUCCCUUAUUAGGUCAAGACAUUUUAACUAAAUUAUCUGCUUCCCUGCCUAUUCCUAGGCUACAGCCAUACCUCAUUGCUGCCCUUUUCCCCAGUUGAAAGCCUCCUUCGCAUCCUCCCCUUGUAUCUCCCCACCUUAACCCACAAGUGUAGGACACCUCUACUCCGUCCUUGACCACCGAUCAUUCACCCCUUACCAUCCCAUUAAAACCUAAUCAUCCUUACCCUGCUCAACACAAAUAUCCCAUCCCACAGCAUGCUUUAAAAGGAUUAAAGCCUGUUAUCACUCACCUGUUACAGCAUGGCCUUUUAAAGCCUAUAAACUCUCCUUACAAUUCCCCCAUUUUACCUGUUCAAAAAUCGGACAGGUCUUACAAGUUAGUUCAGGAUCUUCACCUUAUCAGCCAAAUUGUCUUGCCUAUCCACCCCAUGCUGCCAAACCCAUAUACUCUCCUAUCCUCAAUACCUCCCUCCACAAGCCAUUAUUCUGUUCUGGAUCUCAAAACAUGCUUUCUUUACUAUUCCUGUGCACCCUUCAUCCCAGCCUCUCUUCACUUUCACUUGGACUGACCCUGACACCCAUCAGGCUCAGCAAACUACCUGGGCUGUACUGCCGCAAGGCUUCACGGACAGCCCCCAUUACUUCAGUCAUGCCCAAAUUUCUUCCUCAUCCGUUAUCUAUCUCGGCAUAAUUCUUCAUGAAAACAUACCUGCUCUCCCUGCUAAUUGUGUCUGACUAAUCUUCCAAACCCUAACCCCUUCUACAAAACAACAACUCCUUUCCUUCCUGGGCAUGGUUAAAUACUUUCACCUUUAAAUACCUGGUUUUGCCAUCCUAAUGAAACCAUUAUAUAAACUCACAAAAGAAGACCUAGCUGACCCCAUAGAUCCUAAAUCCUUUCCCCACUUCUCUUUCCAUUUCUUAAAAACAGCCCUAAAAUCUGCUCCCACACUAGCUUUCCCUCACUCAUCCCAACCCAUUUUCAUUAUACACAGCCAAAGUGCAGGGCUGUGCAAUCGGAAUUCUUACACAAGAGCCGGGACUGUGCCCUGUAGCCUUUCUGUCCAAACGACUUGACCUUACUGUUUUAGGCUA